rnacentral:rRNA from 1 species
UACGGAAGGCAGCAGGGGGAAUAUUGCACAAUGGGCGAAAGCCUGAUGCAGCUAUGCCGCGUGUAUGAAGAAGGCCUUAGGGUUGUAAAGUACUUUCAUCGGGGAGGAAAAACAAAACUAAUAAUUUUAUUUCUUGACGUUACCCGAAAAAGAAGCACCGGCUAACUCCGUGCCAGCAGCCGCGGUAAUACGGAGGGUGCUAGCGUUAAUCAGAAUUACUGGGCGUAAAGAGCACGUAGGUGGUUUUUUUAAAGUCAGAUGUGAAAUCCCUGGGCUUAACCUAGGAACUGCAUUUUGAAACUGAAAUACUAGAGUAUCGUAGAGGGAGGUAGAAUUCUAGGUGUAGCGGUGAAAUGCGUAGAUAUCUGGAGGAAUACCUGUGGCGAAAAGCGGCCUCCUAAACGAAUACUGACACUGAGGGUGCGAAAAGCGUGGGGAGCAAAACAGGGAUUAGAUACC